GCGCGAGUGGCUCAGCGGUGGAGCACUUCCUUGCCAAGGAAGGGGUCGCGGGUUCGAUCCCCGUCUCGCGCU
rnacentral:tRNA from 1 species